rnacentral:lncRNA from 1 species
GCAGCCAACAUAAUUGGUAUGGAUGUGGAUGAGGGAUGGUGUCCAACUUUAGCUUCUGCACCAUCUCCAAAGAUACCACAUUCUCAAAGCUACCGUUGUCGAUGAUCACUAAGCAUACUUUGCCAAGAGAAGUGCAUUUAGUGUGAAACACAUUUUUUCUCACCCAACUUUCAUCGUCGGCCACAUAGGACACUUGUAAACUACGUUGCAAUACAAUAGACAAACCAUGAUCAGCAUAAGUAAUCUCUUCCUCAUCAUCAUCGUAUUUUGGUUUGUCCUUAGCUUCAUCCUCUCCUCCAUCACUAUGAUCUUCAACCAAAGUUACAAUCCUCCUAUUUGGACAAUCUGAAGCAAUAUGCCCAAAACCAUAACAUUUGAAGCAUUUUC